GGGAAAGCCCCAGGAUAGGAUGGAAUUUCAACAGAACUGCUGAAAGUUGGCCUCAACUCCUCCUUAGCCUUCUCUUGCAGUGUUGGAAAACAGAAUCUGUCCCACAAGACAUGGGUAACUCCAGCAUUGUGACCCUCUACAAGAACAAAAGUGACGGUCACGACUGUAACAACUACUGUGAAACCUCCCUGCUGAGUACUGUGGGGAAAGCCUUGGGUCAUGCAGCUCUCAACAGAUCACGGUCACUUGCUGACAGGAUCUAUCCUAAGUCACAAUGCAAUUUGGGGCUCAGAGGUUAAAAGCUGACAUGAUUUUCUCACUGUGCCAGCUGCAGGAGAAAUGCCAAGAACAGAGACGCCCCCUUGUACAUCACCUUCAUAGACCUGAAGGUGUUUGACUCCCAUACUUAUCAAAAGAUGCUCUGAGAAGACUCUGAGAAGCCCAGUAAAGUGUGACUUAUGUGGAUUACCCUAUAAUAGAUUGGUAUUUGGAGAAGGUUGCCUAGCUUGGUUGGUGGAAAAUCAACUUCUCAUUCUACUUGUUUUGAAUUGAUCAAAGAUGCUUACUACAGCAGCUUCAAGCAUCAAACAACAUCUUUGAUGGUCCAAGGAGGCACUCUCCAUAUUGUAUGGUUGAGUUUUUUCACUGUUCAUAGAAAAGCAAGGAUUCAUAUAUCUGAACAUCUGGAGUUUGCCCAUUUCCAUACUUCCUCGCUUGUUUGUGCUUUAUUGAUUGGCAGCAGCCAUUUUUGGGCAGAAACCAAGCAAGGAAGGAGAGAGCAAGAUCAGACUAUUCAGGGAACAGGAGAAAAUGGACAGAUCAGUUUUUCCUUUGACUCUCUUUUGUUGGCUGACUGCAGCCAUUUCAGGAAGAAAUUAUUGAAAAGGAGGAGAAAGAGCUUGGGUAAAUCCCAACCUUACAUGAAGACUGGAUGCCUUACAUGAUAUCCAGGAGGACACCAUGGUGAAAGGCACUGAAAGAUCAAGCAACAAUGAGCACAUGUAUUUCAGAUGAGCCACCUAUGAAUCAGUUAAAAGGCAAGUGAUUAAUAAAAUAAAACUUGUUUAUUCUGUUGA